rnacentral:antisense_RNA from 1 species
CUUGAUCGAGCCGAGCCGGAGCGGCCGUUCCCGGUCCUGGCCGUAGGUGGCGAGGAGGGCCUGCGCCUC